rnacentral:rRNA from 1 species
UACGUAGGGGGCGAGCGUUGUCCGGAUUUAUUGGGCGUAAAGAGCUCGUAGGCGGCUUGGCAAGUCGGGUGUGAAAACCUCCAGGCUCAACCUGGAGACGCCACUCGAGACUGCUAUGGCUAGAGUCCGGUAGGGGACCACGGAAUUCCUGGUGUAGCGGUGAAAAUGCGCAGAUAUCAGGAGGAACACCGGUGGGCGAA